AUACGUAGGGGGCGAGCGUUGUCCGGAAUGAUUGGGCGUAAAGGGCGCGUAGGCGGCCCGGUAAGUCUGGAGUGAAAGUCCUGUUUUUAAGAUGGGAAUUGCUUUGGAUACUGUCGGGCUUGAGUGCAGAAGAGGUAAGUGGAAUUCCCAGUGUAGCGGUGAAAUGCGUAGAGAUUGGGAGGAACACCAGUGGCGAAGGCGACUUACUGGACUGUAACUCACGCUGAGGCGCGAACGUGUGGGGAGUAAAUAGGUUUAUAUACCCUGGUUGUUCACGCUGUAAACGAUGAAUGCUAGGUGUAGUGGGUAUCGACCCCUUCUGUGCCGUAGUCAACACAAUAAGCAGUCCGGCUGGGGAGUACGGCCGCAAGGCGGAAACUCAAAGGAAUUGACGGGG
rnacentral:rRNA from 1 species